UCCUCUUCUGAGGUCAAUGAGAAUAACGCAAACGCUCCAAACCCAACCUAAAGGGGUGGUGCUCUUCACAAACUCAAGUAACUACAACAUGGGAGGGAAGCCAAGCUGUUACACAGAAGCUGUAACUCGCUGUUAAAAUCACUGUUUGGAGACUUGUUCCUGGCAUGGAGAUGAACUGUUCCAAGGAAUGGUUGCACAUUUCCUGCACCAUUCUCAGAUUGCAUUCCAACGUUUACCAUGGUGACCGUGAUAAGAGGGGCGAGGAAUGAGCAAGGGCCAUAUGCACAGACAUGGUGUCAUUAGAACAAGUCUGACACCUGUGUGUAAUCAGAGACAGAGAUUUCUUAGUAUGGAAAAUAGCAGCAAGAUCAGUGAAUUCCUUCUUCUGUGUUCCAAAAUGAAUACUAUAUGAGUAUGGAAAAGCAUGAAGGUUCUCCAGACCUGAAAGCAGGAAUUGCAUGUGCCAUUCCCGCUCAGCCUGAAAGGAACAUCUGACCAUUACCGCCUCACGCUGUUCCCAUUUCCUCAGAUACAAAACUGACUUCCUGAAUGAGGUAGACAGGCAUGUUCCUGCAGGAAUGUCCCAGUGUUUUGCUUUUGAGAGCUACUUUGAGGUUAUACUGAUUGCCAGAAUCAUCACUCAGCACAAGUGAUUACUGUCUUUGUAACAUCUGCACCAUCAACAACCUGGAGUCAGCUGGAUCACAGGUUAACACACCUGAGCCCAAUUUCUCUUGCAGUGUCAUUCCUCACCUUCAUCCUUAUCCUACAUCAAGGGAAUUAGAACACAGAAAACACUCACUGGAAUGUGGACAUGGUCACAGGGAAUUGCAGGUGUGGAAGAUCUUGCCCUCUGAAAGGCCCUAGAUGUGCAGACACUGUCACUGUUUCUGUGAAUACUGAUAAUUCAGAGUGAUGUCCUCCACCUCAUCAGUCUUGCAGAGCUUGUGACCAAACACGUCCUUCAGCAUCUUGAUUAGCCCGUGUAUAAAGUAUAUCUCACGGCCUGGUUCUCCUGGUUUGGAGGAAACACGCAGGUCGAAAUAGCGUAUUCCUCCUUCGAGCUGUUCCCUGAAGGUGAGGUUCUGGGUCAUGGACCACUUCUUCAUCACCUUCUUGGCCAGGAAGCGGAAUAUCGCAGCCAGAUGCUUCACAUACGUUUUCUGGUCUGGACCGACUGGAGCUUGCUCAUCCACCCAGAAGCUGAAGGAAUCAUGAGAGCCUAUAGCACAAGCAUAAAGGCAGCAUCAAGACAGUUCUACAGUUCAUUUAGUCAUUAUGUCACAACUCUACAAGUUGUUUAUUGUUAUUAACAGUAUUAAAGAUUUAUUAGAAAUAUCCAGCUUUCAAUAAUUAGUUGGUUUCUAUACAAAAUCAUAGGAACAGGUUUGAUCAUUUAGGACUGUCCUCUAAUGAAAGACAAAAAAGACCAAGACAAAUUGACAAAAUUGGAGAGACGCAUAUUUGACCUUACAGAAUUAUCAUCCUGAAAGGAUUAUGAUGUCAUCAUGAAGUCAUGUUAUUUUUUAUUUUAUUUUUUUACAUCAUUACAUUUCGCAUUGUUUUAAUAAGAGUGCAUUUUAAGUCUAAAAAUUAAGAUUAAUAUAUUAAUAUUAAUAAAAUAUGUAUGAAAUUAUUUAAUGUUAUAUAAUAUUUAUAAAUAUAUAUAAAAUAUAAAUAAUAUCUGUAAUAUUGUCAGUCCUCUGUCGUGUGUGUCAUGUAUUCCCACCUCUUGUUUCCUUAUUUGGUCAUGUUCCUUGUUCAGUGUGAUUAUUAGUUAAUUCUCGUCCAGCUGUGUUUAGUAAUUAUCUAUGAUUAUCAUGUGUAUUUAGUUCCUGCCUGUUUAGUUAGUUUUGUGUGUUCCUGUCUGUCAACCUUCUCUUGUCUUGCCCUGU